GAUGAACGCUGGCGGCGUGCCUAAUACAUGCAAGUCGAGCGAACGGACGAGAAGCUUGCUUCUCUGAUGUUAGCGGCGGACGGGUGAGUAACACGUGGAUAACCUACCUAUAAGACUGGGAUAAAUUCGGGAAACCGGAGCUAAUACCGGAUGAUAUUUUGAACCGCAUGGUUCAAAAGUGAAAGACGGUCUUGCUGUCACUUAUAGAUGGAUCCGCGCUGCAUUAGCUAGUUGGUAAGGUAACGGCUUACCAAGGCAACGAUGCGUAGCCGACCUGAGAGGGUGAUCGGCCACACUGGAACUGAGACACGGUCCAGACUCCUACGGGAGGCAGCAGUAGGGAAUCUUCCGCAAUGGGCGAAAGCCUGACGGAGCCACGCCGCGUGAGUGAUGAAGGUCUUCGGAUCGUAAAACUCCGUUAUUAGGGAAGAACAUAUGUGUAAGUAACUGUGCACAUCUUGACGGUACCUAAUCAGAAAGCCACGGCUAACUACGUG
rnacentral:rRNA from 1 species